rnacentral:tRNA from 1 species
GGCCCCUUCGUCUAGUGGCCUAGGACGCCGCCCUUUCACGGCGGAAACACGGGUUCGAGUCCCGUAGGGGUCACCA